CGCGAAGAACCUUACCUGGGUUUGAACUGCUGGUAGUAAGACCCCGAAAGGGGAAUGAUCCUGGCUUGCCAGGAAGCCAGCAGAGGUGCUGCAUGGCUGUCGUCAGCUCGUGUCGUGAGAUGUUGGGUUAAGUCCCGCAACGAGCGCAACCCUUGCCUUUAGUUGCCAGCGAGUUAUGUCGGGCACUCUAAGGGGACUGCCUCGGAUAACGGGGAGGAAGGUGGGGACGACGUCAAGUCAGCAUGGCCUUUAUGUCCAGGGCUACACACGUGCUACAAUGGACGGUACAGAGAGUCGCAAGACCGCGAGGUGGAGCUAAUCUCUAAAACCGUUCUCAGUUCGGAUCGCAGGCUGCAAUUCGCCUGUGUGAAGUUGGAAUCGCUAGUAAUCGCGGAUCAGCAACGCCGCGGUGAAUACGUUCUCGGGCCUUGUACACACCGCCCGUCACAUCACGAAAGUUGGUUGUACCCGAAGUCGCUGUGCUAACCCUUCGGGGAAGCAAGUGCCGAAGGUGUGGUCGAUGAUUGGGGUGAAGUCGUAACAAGGUAACCUUAAUUAAAA
rnacentral:rRNA from 1 species